AACGAACGCUGGCGGCAUGCCUAACACAUGCGAGUCGAACGAGACCUUCGGGUCUAGUGGCGCACGGGUGCGUAACGCGUGGGAACCUGCCCUUAGGUUCGGAAUAACUCCCCGAAAGGGGUGCUAAUACCAGAUAAUGUCUUCGGACCAAAGAUUUAUCGCCUUUGGAUGGGCCCGCGUUGGAUUAGCUAGUUGGUAGGGUAAAAGCCUACCAAGGCGACGAUCCAUAGCUGGUCUGAGAGGAUGAUCAGCCACACUGGGACUGAGACACGGCCCAGACUCCUACGGGAGGCAGCAGUGGGGAAUAUUGGACAAUGGGCGAAAGCCUGAUCCAGCAAUGCCGCGUGAGUGAUGAAGGCCUUAGGGUUGUAAAGCUCUUUUACCCGGGAUGAUAAUGACAGUACCGGGAGAAUAAGCUCCGGCUAACUCCGUG
rnacentral:rRNA from 1 species